AGAGCGAACGCUGGCGGCAUGCUUAACGCAUGCAAGUCGCACGGUCGGAGCGAUCCGGCAGUGGCGGACGGGUGAGUAACGCGUAGGAAUCUAUCCUCAGGUGGGGGACAACGGUUGGAAACGACUGCUAAUACCGCAUGAUACCUGUGGGUCAAAGGCGCAAGUCGCCUGGGGAGGAGCCUGCGUACGAUUAGCUAGUUGGUGGGGUAAUGGCCUACCAAGGCUGCGAUCGUUAGCUGGUCUGAGAGGAUGAUCAGCCACACUGGGGCUGAGACACGGCCCAGACUCCUACGGGAGGCAGCAGUGGGGAAUAUUGGACAAUGGGCGAAAGCCUGAUCCAGCAAUGCCGCGUGUGUGAAGAAGGUCUUCGGAUUGUAAAGCACUUUCGACGGGGACGAUGAUGACGGUACCCGUAGAAGAAGCCCCGGCUAACUUCGUGCCAGCAGCCGC
rnacentral:rRNA from 1 species